rnacentral:rRNA from 1 species
UACGUAGGGCGCAAGCGUUGUUCGGAUUUACUGGGCGUAAAGGGCGCGUAGGCGGCGUGGUAAGUCACUUGUGAAAUCUCUGAGCUUAACUCAGAACGGCCAAGUGAUACUGCUGUGCUAGAGUGCAGAAGGGGCAAUCGGAAUUCUUGGUGUAGCGGUGAAAUGCGUAGAUAUCAAGAGGAACACCUGAGGUGAAGACGGGUUGCUGGGCUGACACUGACGCUGAGGCGCGAAAGCCAGGGGAGCAAACGGG